UACGGAGGGUGCAAGCGUUAUCCGGAUUCACUGGGUUUAAAGGGUGCGUAGGCGGGCUGAUAAGUCAGUGGUGAAAGCUCCGAGCUUAACUUGGAAACUGCCAUUGAUACUGCCAGUCUUGAAUGUCGUAGAGGUAAGCGGAAUGUUGCAUGUAGCGGUGAAAUGCUUAGAUAUGUUACAGAACACCAAUUGCGAAGGCAGCUUACUAUGCGCUGAUUGACGCUGAGGCACGAAAGCGUGGGAGCAAACAGGAUUAGAUACCCUGGUAGUCCACGCCCUAAACGAUGAUUACUCGAUGUUGGCGAUACACUGUCAGCGUCUUAGCGAAAGCGUUAAGUAAUCCACCUGGGGAGUACGCUCGCAAGAGUGAA
rnacentral:rRNA from 1 species